GGAAGGUCCAGGCGUUAUCCGGAUUUAUUGGGUUUAAAGGGUGCGUAGGCCGUUUGAUAAGCGUGCUGUGAAAUAUAGUGGGCUCAACCUCUAUCGUGCAGCGCGAACUGUCGAACUUGAGUGCGUAGUAGGUAGGCGGAAUUCGUGGUGUAGCGGUGAAAUGCUUAGAUAUCACGAAGAACUCCGAUUGCGAAGGCAGCUUACCGUAACGUUACUGACGCUUAAGCACGAAGGUGCGGGUAUCGAACAGGAUUAGAUACCCUGGUAGUCCGCACAGUAAACGAUGGAUGCUCGCUGUUGGCCUUUAAUGGUCAGUGGCUUAGCGAAAGCGUUAAGCAUCCCACCUGGGGAGUACGCCGGCAACGGUG
rnacentral:rRNA from 1 species